CCAACAUCUCAGACUCUACAGAAAAAAGACUGAACAAGUAUGGUUUGUUUGCAAGGUUUGCUAGGAGAAAGCUUUUUCUCUCUAAAAAAAAAUAAAAAUGGCAGCAUGGCUUAGGUUUGCAAAGAUGCAUCUAAACAAGCCACAAAAAUUUUGGAACAAUGUCCUUUGGACAGACGAGACCAGAGUGGAGAUGUUUGUCCAUAAUGCACAGAGCCACGUUUGGCCAAAACCAAACACAGCAUAGCAAUACAAACACCUCAUACCAACUGUCAAGCACGGUGGUGGAGGGGUGAUGAUUUGGACUUGCUUUGCAGCCAUAGGACCUGGGAACCUUGUAGUCAUUGGGUAGAUCAUGAACUCCUCUGUAUACCAAAGUAUUCUAGAAUCAAAUGUGAGGCCAUCUGUUCAACAGCUAAACUUUGUCUGAAAUUGGGUUAUGCAACAGGACAAUGAUAUCAAACACACCAGCAAAUCUGCAACAGAAUGUCUGAAAAAGAAAAGAAAAAAGGUAUUGCAAUGGCCCAGUCAACGUCCAGACAAUUGAAAUGCUGUGGCGGGACCUUAAGAGAGUUGUGUAUAAACAAAUACCAGCAAACCUCAAUGAACUGAAGCAACGUUGUAAAGAAGAGUGGGACACAAUUCAUUCUCAACGAUGUUAGAUACCGAUAAAGUCAUUCAGAAAUCAGUUAUUCAAGUUCUUGCUCCUAAAGGUGGUUCUACAUUCUAUUGAAUCAUAAAGUGUACUUAGUUUUUCACACAUGGCUUCUCCAUUUUGGCUUUA